ACUCAGAAGUGUGUCUCAAGAUUCUUUCAGAAAAAAUAUCUGAUAAAACUCAACAAUUCUGUAUUGAAGUGCCUGACUUACUUCUAGUCCUGAUGAAUUUUGGUACUGUUCAAAGCAACUUUUGGCCUGUGGCUUUGGACAUUUCUUUUCCUUUUCCAUUUCUCCGCCCAUUCCGGAAAUUUUCCAUGAACAGUUUCGAUUCGGAAAAACAUCAUGUCCCUUUCCCUCGCUUGAAUUUGGAGAAAAUAUUGUCUCUCUUGAGUUUCAAUGUGAAAACAUAUCCCUAUUUUUCCGAGAACGAGAAAAUUGGAAUGUGCAACCUCUUGCUAAACCUUUACAUGGCCAAUUUUAUAGCUGGAGACACUUUUCUAACUCUCAAAAUCAGAGACAUUAUAUCACGUAUACUUGAAAGUUUUACAGUAGAGGAAUGGAGUGAACUUAAUUUCAAAAUGUAUUGAAGAACUUAUUUUGCAGUGUUGGAUUGAGAACCUGUAACCUACAGCGAUGGUUCAACGAAUUACGUACAGUAUAUACCAACAACUACAAGCAGUGGAGCAACUACAAGCUGUCGGUUCAUCAGCGAUGGACUCGAGUAAACGACGAGCAAUGGUCGUUUGCCGAAGGGCUUCUUCCGCCAAGGCAAGAAAUUGACUCAUCUUCAUCAGGUUUAUUGCAGCAACUUGAGAGAAUUCACUUGAAAAGAUGCAGGGCACAUACUAACAUGUGUUGUAUUUUUCUGAAUUAUGUUUUGAUUGAGCAGUAGAUAGCAAUUAACUUUAGUUUAUUGCAUUAAUGUUGGAAGGUUUAUUGAAAUAUUUCCUUUAGAUUCAACAUGACUGUUCGAUGACAAAGUUAGUUGGAAACCUAACUCAAAUACCGAUAACCUUUGCUGCAGCUGCCUUACAGCCACAAGCAGGAAAAUUAUUCUUUUCCUCAGAAAGUUGUUUUAUUUUUUGUCCUGAAUCCCCUAUACUUUCUUUUAAUAUUAGAGAUUUUUAUGUUGAAUAAGUUAACGAAAGUUUGAAAUUGCUAACUAAAUCAUUUGUAUGAUGUGUCAUAGGGAAAGCUGCUGGAGUAAUCUAGUGUUCAUCCUCUUGAUUCAUUUCGUGUCAGCUAGCAGCUAGUGAAAGGCGUAACGAUUCGAGUUGAGCUGCUGCCGCUGCGUGCUGUCUGCAAGAACGCAUCAAAUUAGCUGUCGCUAGGUGGCUUAAAAUGAUUUCCACUAGGUUGCGCGAGUGUCUUCACUCUUCAGGGAUAAAUGUGUUAUGGUCGUGACGUUUCUCAUGAUGAAAAUGAAAAGGUCCAAUGCAACAUUAAAAAUGUCAUUCUUUUGGACUGCAUAGUGUUGUCUUACUCCUGGUAUUCUAUGGUCAUAAUGAGUCCUGCAUGUAAUUGUGUACACACUGUGUUUCCUGAUGGUAAUCUUAAUAUUUUCUUAAAUAGGUCCGCUGCUGGUUACUUUGUUGCAGACAGCUGGGGAUAGGUGUUCCUUUUGCAGGUGUGCUACUGGUACUGGUAGUAAUUUUCGUCAUGUACAGAAACAAUUCUUAAGCAGGAUGUUGAAGAUCUUUCCUUUCUCCACGUGGUUGCUGACGUGUCAUGAAGAUGUGUUUUUGGGAGGGUCUCUACUAUAUUGCAAGACAAAAGUGUGAUGAAAACAGGAAAUCUGAAAUGGUGUCCAUCUUUCUUAAUAGCCCACAUUUCUACUUGACAGCUCUACCAAUGUGUUUAACAGCAUAAGAAGUUAAUCAAUGAUGCCAAGCUUCUAAGGACUUACAAACGAAAAUGUUUCUCAUUUCACAGUAAUGGUGAUCCCAAAGAAUAUGACCAUUGAAGAUUUAGUUCUCUAUGCAGAGACAAAACGAUAGUUGGCUGAAAACAAUUGGAUGUACAUGGCUAAUUUUAUCGUCAUAUAAAUAGGGUGGUGGACAUGUUACAAAAUUUUUCCACAAGAAUGCAGAAAACUUAUCAAAUCAAUUACUAGAUGACCUUUUUAUAUCUUCCUUUUUACUCCUAUCAUUUGGGUUUAAAUAGUGACGAACUGACAGGUGGAUGGUGGCAGCAUAUUUGAUACAGGGAUCCACUCUUUCUUAUAGGCUAAAGCAUCUGACAGAAGUUAUCCAAAAUAGGCAACUUGUGUGUAUUACGUUUCAGAUGGUUUCGAUUCCGACUAGUCCGGUGCAUCAGUGGGCCCUCUUCCGACAAACCCAGAUUAGUUUCAUUAUCAAUCAUGUUUUCGAAUUUUUUUUAGAAAAUGGCUAAUUGGUUUUUCUUUUGUGAACAUAUGUUGGUGGUGGACCGUAAAUUCCAGAAUCGGAUGAGAUUUCUGGCGAUGACAAUAGAACAGGAUGCAUAUUCGGAAGUCAUGGGCUGUCUGAUGGGCCCGCAACACGUCCAGCAGCCACAUUGAGACUCGGAAACGUUUGUCGGUUCUUCGUUGCCGACGUCGGCCGUCUUGACUGAGUUACAUCACGCUACCUGGACAAUUCCCGACUCUUCACUCGCUUCGACGACAACAAAGAAUUUUUUCCGGUUCCAAAGUUUAUUGUGUUUCGUCGGUGGACCACACAUUUUGAGUCAUCGUUAUUAUGAUGCAUUUGCCUAUAAUAGUGAAGCAGGAGCGAUAACUGGGAGCAGCUGCCGGAUGAUUCUGGAACCACGAACUUACUCUUCCGUUUGGUGUUCCGAUUCGCCAGUUAUUUGUUUGGUCGUUUGCAUCGCAACCGACUGAAACAUCACCGCAAUGAACCGAAACUAUGAGAUGCUAUUUUGUUGCCGGGAGUAAUCAAAGAUAUCCUAUCAGUGCUGGAUCGUGGAUAGAAUCAUUCGUUCGGCUGAAGAAUAUCUCGAUUCUUUCGAAUGACCUGGCCCAACAAUUCACAGAUAUCGCCGGGAUCAACUCGCUUAUUCAAUCCCGCCAUAUUGGGAUCCAGCAAAGAAAACUUUUACUCCUCAGCUGAAUGUUGUCCACCAUUCAACAACGGAUGCCACUGCUUCUAGUCAAUCUGCUGGACCGUGUUCCGGCAUGAAAGAUUCAUUUCAGAUUGUUUGAAAUUGCCAUGAACUUGUUUGUUUUUUGUUUGUUUUCUGCAAUUCGUCUUGUUGUGGAGCGUCUAGACUAGCAUAUCUGAGUAAGGGUCUAACAGUUUGCGUAUUGGCCCAGUCGAAGGUACUGGAGGAAGUCUGAUUGGUGGCGAUCGUGUGCCCGUUUUAGUGAUGGUUAGUUAGAGAACGCUGCCGUAAUUGUUGUCACAGAAGGAGUGAUUUAUGUCUCCGGCUCUUUUAGUUAAAUUUCGUGUCAGAAACAAAAAGGUUUUCCAUUCAGGGUUCCCCAUCUCUCAUACCGGUCUGUUACAGCAGUAGUCAACGGCGUACAAAGAAUUUUUUAUAUCAAGGUUUUUUUUCUCAUUUAAAUGCUGCAGUGCAUUAAUGUUAGUAUUUGUUUUUGUAAGAGUUGACUGGGGAAGUAUUGGGUUUGUACAUGCAUGGUGUUAUUUAUCAUAAGAAUACAAGAACAGACAUGGGAAACAUUGGGAGGUAAUAGAGGGGGGACAUGUGGAAGGAGUAGGAAAUGAACCUGGGGCCUUUCUUAUCAUCACUAGGGGCCGUAACCAUGACAGAGGUCCAUCAUCCAAUUUGAUAAAUCUCGAGAAUUUAAUCCGAUCCUUUAAAGGGCUGGCUAAGAAUGCUGUGGAAUUUUUCAAUUUAGGCAACACAGUAGGUAGCUAUUGGUUAUAGCUCAAAAUUGUCACGAGUUACGUGUUUGAAUCUUGUAGGACAAUGGAAGAAUAAGAGGGUAGGAAGUAGAAGUGCAGAGAAAUCAGAAAUCUUUGGAAUAGUCCAGUAAAAUGCGAAUGUAUAAGAAAAGAAACGUGGUAAGUUGCAAUUUUAUUUUUCAACGGGAUAUUUACAUCCAUCAGGAUGAUUCCAUUCAUAGUUGAAAUGUUUGGUUAGUAAUGUAACUAUAAUUGCGUAUUAUAGAGACGUUACAUAGUGUUUAAGGAUUGAUCCACCGUAGUGUUGGUAGUUUUAAAUGGUACACGCGAAUCUUUCAGUCUUCAUUCUGCAGUGUUGUGUUAGCAAUGGAGGAGUAGGGUUGUCGAAUUUGUGUUCUGGUCAUCCGUGUGGACAAUCGGUUUGACUGAGUGUGUGCUUGUCAAGGUUGUUUUAACUCUUACUUUUAUACGGCAGUAUAAAACUAAAUCAAUAAAUGUGUAAUUGAAAAUAACUUGUGCCUAGUUUGU